rnacentral:rRNA from 1 species
CGGCGAAAGGGAGAGUAAUACGUAGUACCUGCCCUCGGGUCUGGGAUAGCUGCGGGAAACUGCAAUUAAUACCAGAUGACGCUGAGGACCAAAGGUGUGAUUCCGCCAGGGGAUGGGCCUGCGUCCUAUCAGCUAGUUGGUGUGGUAAAAGCGCACCAAGGCAAAGACGGGUACGGGGUGUGAGAGCAUGCCCCCGCUCACUGGGACUGAGACACUGCCCAGACACCUACGGGUGGCUGCAGUCGAGAAUCUUCCGCAAUGGGCGAAAGCCUGACGGAGCGACGCCGCGUGUGGGAUGAAGGCCUUCGGGUUGUAAACCACUGUCAGUGGGGAGCAAAUGGCUAGGGGUUAUCCCCUAGUCUUGAGCGAUCCGCAGAGGAAGCACAGGCUAAUUCCGUGCCAGCAGCCGCGGUAAUACGGAAUGUGCAAACGUUAUUCGGAAUCACUGGGCUUAAAGAGUCCGUAGGCGGCAUGUUAGGUGAGGUGUGAAAUCCCCCGGCUCAACCGAGGAAUUGCGCUUCAAAACCGGCGUGCUUGAGGAAGAUAGAGGUGGGCGGAACUGAUGGUGGAGCGGUGAAAUUGCGUUGAUAUCAUCAGGAACACCGGAGGCGAAGGGCGGCCCACUGGGGUCUUUUCUGACCCUGAAGGAACAAAGCUAGGGGAGCGAACGGGAAUUAGAAACCCCCGGGUAGUCCU